AUAGGGCCAUUGCGCGAUUGAGUCGUUGGCAUCAUUAGUUGUUGUCAUGUCAUUCAUCAGCGACUUUUUUUUUUCCUGACUGAACCUACCGGUAGUAAGCCUGAUGGAAGGCAGGAGCCAUUCCAUUGUUGUAAGCUGCCAUACCAUUGGCAUACCCACCAUAGGGGGUGGGGUAGCUCAUGGGUGGGGUGGAGUAUGGCAUCGCGAUGCCGACAUUGACAGUGGCUACCUCCUCAACUGGGUAAACAUAUGGCUCCCUGAUAGCCGGUGGGCUCCGGUUGCAGUAGAGGCCAUGACCAACCGCCCUGUCAUAAGGGUAAGGGGAGGCGGUGGCGUAUGAUGCGUGGGAAGGGGAGGCGGUGGCAUAUGAGGUGUGGGAAGGGGAAGUGGUGGCGUAUGAGGUGUGGGAGGGAGAGCGGGCAAAUGUGGUGGGAGUUGGGAAAGAAGACACGGACGCGUUGUUAGUUCGACCUGCCUUGGCAGGAGGCAUUGGGCCUCCAUUGCUUGCACGGAUACGCUUGGUUGCAGGGCCGCUGCUGCCGCCACUGGAAGCACUUGAUGCUGCCUUUUUCUUCUCGGUCUUGGCCUUCUCCAGCUCUUCGAGCUGCUUCCGGAGAUCCUCCAGUGGAAACUCAGCUUCC
rnacentral:lncRNA from 1 species